AAGUGGCGUUACCCACAAUCGCUGAUCCACUAACAUCCAAUAGUGUAAAUUGUGGCAGCAGCUUCUGAACUGAAGAUUGGCAACUUGGCUGAACUCCAGAAGUGAAAGCCUGGCUCUUUCAUGGCUCUUUUCAACACCAAGUUCUACAAAUAUCGGUAACCACUCACAAGGAGCCGGUGGAAGAGUUCUCAUAGAUCUCAUCCCUCAUCCUGCUGACAUCUCCAGCAUGGUCAUCCUUCUUUAAGAUGUUCUUUGUACCACCACUCUACCAUGACGAAGGUUGCGGCAAAACCUCAUGGAGGAUUCACAUGGAUGUAAUUGGGCAUUGCAGGGCCAACUUCACACUUGGUUACAAUGGCAGAAUGUUGGGAUAGGAUAUGCUCCAAUCCACUUAGGAAAAGUGGAGACAAGGCUGGAAUGCCAGGUAUGUCUUUUUUGUUGUGCACUGUGGGCCUGCUGUCGCCGGGGAAAAAAGACAAAAUGUAACUAUUAGGUUACAGUUUGGUCUGAUGCGUAUUUAGCACGAAACAUGACACUCAUUACAGAAUUGUUCUCUGUGUGGGUUAUGAAAAACAGUCAAUGAGGUCUCAGUCUCAUUCACACUGUGAAAUUGAAUUCCUUUAGAUGUGUGGAAUUAAAAGAA